rnacentral:rRNA from 1 species
CACGCCCUAAACGAUGUCAACUAGUUGUUGGUGGAGUAAAAUCCAUUAGUAACGCAGCUAACGCGUGAAGUUGACCGCCUGGGGAGUACGGUCGCAAGAUUAAAACUCAAAGGAAUUGACGGGGGCCCGCACAAGCGGUGGAUUAUGUGGAUUAAUUCGAUGCAACGCGAAAAACCUUACCUGGCCUUGACAUGUACGGAACUUUCCAGAGAUGGAUUGGUGCCCGAAAGGGAGCCGUAACACAGGUGC